UUUAUGUGUGUAACCUCAAAAAAAUAUGGAACAACGCUUCAUAGCAAAAUUCUCCCCCAAACUGAAUGGCUGAAAAUAUGAAAAUCACA